UGCAGUGACACUGCAUGUCGUAAGAGGCGACUAAUCAACAGUGGUGAGUACCUUUAAUUUAAUUAGGUAUUUGUAGCUUAUGUUUAAAGUUAGGAAUAAAAUCAGAAUUCAAGGUUUAGUGAAAAAACUAAAAUUUGCACCGUAAUAAUGUAAGUGCGAUAAGGAUCGGCUUUUGGAACAGCAACAGAUAAUCGUACAAGACCCAGCUGCCAAAAGUAUAGCUUGCUUAAAGGUGUAGAGAUUCUAUUGUUUUCCAGAAUCUUGAAUAUCUCCACAGAACCUCAAUUCCAGACCAAAAAAUUGGGGUCUUUCACAACUCGUCCGUUUUAGUUUAAACCGUUUAAUUGUAACCACAACCUGUAGGAGGAUUUCAGGAUAUGAGGUUUGCUUUCUAAAUGGAUGUGCUUAUCUAAUGAGCUACUUUAAAUGUGAAUAAAGAAGAUUAAGCAAACUUUAUUUCGCAAAAUUAUGUACGCAACAAGUUAUGAGACUUUUUUUUGUUUUAAUUCGACUCCCCUCUUCUCAUUAAGCAAACUGGACCAUUUCAUAACUGGUUAUGUAAUAAGCAAUUGUUUUAUUUUGACCAUACUGCUUCUAUUAUCCAUCAAUACAUUGGAAUAAUCACAAGUGAUAAAUCGGAUAUCCCAGCAUGAAAAUGUUGACGUAUCAACGGAUAAUGGAUGCAUGGAAACUUACCUCGCCUAUUUUACAGUGGAAAUUAGCUAGUUGGUACGUAAACGGGUUGAAAAAGUUAUUUAAUGAAAUGGCGCAUUUCCGCAAUAGUGUUGUAAUUACCAGGUAACAUUUCAUAUGAGUUUAUUUGGCUGUAAGGGUAUACAAAAAAUGCAAUUUGCUUACGACACCUAAAUAUGCCUUUUUCUUACGCAAUUCAAACUGGUGGCUGCAGGGAACAACGUAAACAUCACGGUAUUUAACCUGAUUAAUAACCCUAACAGUGUUUGUGGGUCUACUUGUCAACACAACAAGCCAAAAUACACUGAAGUCCCUAUUUUUCGCUUCGUUUACGCUUAAUCUUUCCCGAACAUCGUGGUAGUGAUUGAAAUUAUUGUUGAUUUUGGAUUUGACAGAAAUUAAUUAAUGGUUAAUCAGUUUUUGGGUACCUACUCCUAACCCCACAAACACGAAAAAUGGUUCCCACGCGUGUUGAAUAUAGGUAAGUCUAAUGUGCCUUUUGAACCCGAACAUCUUAUCUCACGAAAGGCGUCUAUUACAUGCACUUAGCUUUCCUAAACCACUCGCUUCUAUUUUCACCAUAACAUUAAGCUGCAGUACAAUAAGUAAUCUUGAGUAACAGAUCUAACAAAAAGCAAGCCCUCCAAUUAUUAAGAAUAAGUUUGCCGGUAACAGUUCGCAAGAGUUGGAUCAUCAGCUAAAAAAAAAUGAAUAAAAGCACAGUUUUUUGGUAAGAUGCACUGCUUCCAGGUCUAAUCUCCAAGAAAACUUUAUAAUAAGCUCUUCUGAAGUUCCUCUAAAGUUUAGCUGAAGUUCUCAAAUUCCCUCCCCGUUAAGCGUUUCUCAAUUACCUACUUUAAUUAAGUAGCUCUCUAUCGCAACUUCUUUUUUAAGCGUCUAUUAAUUCCUACGAAGCUCUUGCUUCCUUACGCACUCGUGGGUGACAUUUUGCAGCAGUUCUGGAUGCAUAUUCCUUUUACAUUGAAAUUUCAUUCACUUCUAUUUAUAGGUGUUACCAUCUGGAUAAUAAAAUUUACUUUAAAAACCA